rnacentral:rRNA from 1 species
GAUGAACGCUGGCGGUAUGCCUAACACAUGCAAGUCGUACGAGAGUUUUUAACUCUAGUGGCGGACGGGUGAGUAACACGUGAGAAUUUGCCUUUAGGAGGGGGACAACAAUUGGAAACGAAUGCUAAUACCCCCAUAUGCUUUCGAGUGAAAUGGAUUUUAUCCGCCUAGAGAGAAGCUCGCGGCUGAUUAGCUUGUUGGUAAGGUAACGGCUUACCAUGGCGACGAUGGGUAGGGGGUCCUGAGAGGGAGAUCCCCCACACUGGUACUGAGACACGGACCAGACCCCUACGGGAGGCAGCAGUGAGGAAUAUUGGACAAUGGGCGCAAGCCUGAUCCAGCCAUGCCGCGUGCAGGAUGACGGUCCUAUGGAUUGUAAACUGCUUUUGUACAGGAAGAAACACUCCCUCGUGAGGGAGCUUGACGGUACUGUAAGAAUAAGGAUCGGCUAACUCCGUG